AUUGAACGCUGGCGGCAGGCCUAACACAUGCAAGUCGAACGGUAACAGGAAGAAGCUUGCUUCUUUGCUGACGAGUGGCGGACGGGUGAGUAAUGUCUGGGAAACUGCCUGAUGGAGGGGGAUAACUACUGGAAACGGUAUCUAAUACCGCAUAACGUCGCAAGCCCAAAGAGGGGGACCUUCGGGCCUCUUGCUAUCGGAUGUGCCCAGAUGGGAUUAGCUAGUAGGUGGGGUAACGGCUCACCUAGGCGACGAUCCCUAGCUGGUCUGAGAGGAUGACCAGCCACACUGGAACUGAGACACGGUCCAGACUCCUACGGGAGGCAGCAGUGGGGAAUAUUGCACAAUGGGCGGAAGCCUGAUGCAGCCAUGCCGCGUGUAUGAAGAAGGACUUCGGGUUGUAAAGUACUUUCAGCGGGGAGGAAGGGAGUAAAGUUAAUACCUUAGCUCAUUGACGUUACCCGCAGAAGAAGCACCGGCUAACUACGUG
rnacentral:rRNA from 1 species